UUUCCGUUUCAGCGCCAUCUAGUUAGUUUGCAAUAUAAUACUAUCGAUAUUAUUGUAACAAUCUUUGUAGUUUCUGCAGUACACGGUAGGUGGCUCUGUUUCGACAAAAACUUGCACA